rnacentral:rRNA from 1 species
UGCGUAGGCGGGUUGGUAAGUCCGUGGUGAAAUCUCCAAGCUUAACUUGGAAACUGCCGUGGAUACUAUCAAUCUUGAAUAUAGUGGAGGUGAGCGGAAUAUGUCAUGUAGCGGUGAAAUGCUUAGAUAUGACAUAGAACACCCAUUGCGAAGGCAGCUCGCUACACUAUUAUUGACGCUGAGGCACGAAAGCGUGGGGAUCAAACAGGAUUAGAUACCCUGGUAGUCCACGCCCUAAACGAUGAUUACUCGACAUCAGCGAUACACUGUUGGUGUCUGAGCGAAAGCAUUAAGUAAUCCACCUGGGAAGUACGACCGCAAGGUUGAA